rnacentral:pre_miRNA from 1 species
AGUGUACCACCCUGAGUUCCCACGUGCGUUUGCCCAGUGUGAACACAGCUGGUGGUAUAUCAGU